AAAUGUUCGGACCUCAUAACAUUUCAUCGGUAAGUUUGUUUUUUCUUUUAAAUAAGAAGGCUAUGUUUAGCAUUGUGUUUAUGUUCAGAAUUAGUGCUAACAAGAAAUGGAUUAAAAUCAAUUGUGAACUACAUAAAAUCUCCCAUURAUGGAGGGUGAAAAAUAAACUUUUUGCUUGUGUUUUUUGUAUUUCUGUUGAAUCAAGGUGUGCCAUUAAAAUAAAGACAGAAGUGUUGAUUUGCACUCCUGAUUGCUUACUAAAGUUUUGUAACAGUAAGUAUGUAAUAUUUACACAACACACACAUUGUUAUUUAUCUAAAUUUAUUAAGCAAAAGAAAAAAGAAAGAAAAAAUACCCUGACAUUUGCUUUGUGGAUUGCUUGCCAAAGCUCUGUAACAGUAAAUAUAUUUAUUUUUGACAUGUGGUAAUAUUUUUAUCUAUCUAAAUUUAUUUCAGUGUCAUCUUUGUUUUUAAAACUAACUGUGCAAUCCUGUCCUUGCACACAUCCACUCGUGCUACAGCAGGUGGAUACUGUCUUUGACAUUUUUAAUUCAAGAAAUCUACACUGCAGUGGUUACAAACAUCCAAUAUGCCAGAGCAACUGCUUGGAAGCACUUGAGUGUGUUUGACUUCAACAGAGAGUUUUUUCAGAUUGGUACCARAAGUUCUAGUCAACCAAAGUUUCUCCCUUGGAGCUGUUCUUCAGUGCAGUAUGCAAAGCGGGUGGAUUUAACAACAACCCAAGCUGUCGUCAGUUCAUGGCAAUCUUCCGUAAGAUGAUUGUGCACAGCGGGGUAUCACCAUCUUCAGCUGGAAAUGUUGACUCCAUGGACAGCACACAGUGUCUCUGGGUCAAUGAUGUCAUGCCACACGAAGCAGCUGAGUCAACUUUUAUGGAUAACAACAUCGACCACACGUACAGCACAUGGAUCUCACCAAAACUUGCUCCRUUUGCUGUGAACAUCAUAACAUACAUUGCAGGUUUUAUGGUGCGCCAGAAUGUAACUGAGGUGUGUUGUGAUGUGUGUAAAUCAUCUUUGGUCUCUAAUGCUGUCUAACCUCAAUAUGAUGAUUUGUAUCAGCUGCUUCAAAAGAAAAAUAAAGGUGGGCUUGUUACACCCUCA